GAUGAACGCUGGCGGCGUGCCUAACACAUGCAAGUCGAGCGAUUCUCUUCGGAGAAGAGCGGCGGACGGGUGAGUAACGCGUGGGUAACCUGCCCUGUACACACGGAUAACAUACCGAAAGGUAUGCUAAUACGGGAUAAUAUGCUCUAGUCGCAUGGCUGAAAUAUCAAAGCUCCGGCGGUACAGGAUGGACCCGCGUCUGAUUAGCUAGUUGGUAAGGUAACGGCUUACCAAGGCGACGAUCAGUAGCCGACCUGAGAGGGUGAUCGGCCACAUUGGAACUGAGACACGGUCCAAACUCCUACGGGAGGCAGCAGUGGGGAAUAUUGCACAAUGGGCGAAAGCCUGAUGCAGCAACGCCGCGUGAGGGAUGAAGGCCUUCGGGUUGUAAAGCUCUGUCUUCGGGGACGAUAAUGACGGUACCCGAGGAGGAAGCCACGGCUAACUACGUGCCAGCCGCCGCCGAAA
rnacentral:rRNA from 1 species